UUGAUUUCAACCUCUAACAUCUUCUCUAUUCCAACUUAGAAUCCAUCAAAAAAUAUGCCAAAAUUAUAGCUAAAAAAUUAUUUUUUUCAAUCUAAUCAUCUGUUUCUUUUUGUACACAUACGUUAUAUCCAAAAGAGUGAUAGUAGGUACAAAAUCAACACCUCAACUUUAAGCACAUAUAUCUAUUUCAUAAAAACUCGAAUUAGCUCAAAAUUUAUAACAAAAUCAUAGCCAAAAAUCUGAACCUGCUCAUUCUAGCGUCCAAAAGCUUGUAUCUUUGAAAGUAUAACCCUAAUUCCUAAUAUGGCCUCAAACAGCCUCCUUGAAGUCCAUUGGUCAUGAUUUUUGACCAAUAGGAAUGGAGAUUUUCAUCAUCCAUCUCCAUUCAUCUAUAUGAAUAUCUUAAAGUCUCUUUUUGCUACCAAAAUCCCUCUUCAAUUCUUUUCUUUACA
rnacentral:lncRNA from 1 species